AGAGCUAAAUGGCUCACAGAGGAGAUUAUAGGAUUUCUCAAACGUGCAUGAAAGAAUCAAAGCAACACUCCAGGUAUGUUUUUGAUGAGGAAAUAACAUUAUAGCAUGAUGUGAAGCGAAAAAAAGUCGAUUUUACAUAU